rnacentral:rRNA from 1 species
AGGUUAAGUUAAUAAGGGCGCACGGUGGAUGCCUUGGCACUAGAAGCCGAUGAAGGACGUGACUAACGACGAAAUGCUUUGGGGAGCUGUAAGUGAGCAAUGAUCCAGAGAUGUCCGAAUGGGGGAACCCGGCAGGUAAUGCCUGUCACUCAUUACUGUUAAGGUAAUGUAGAGGAAGACGCAGUGAACUGAAACAUCUAAGUAGCUGUAGGAAGAGAAAGCAAAAGCGAUUGCCUUAGUAGCGGCGAGCGAAACGGCAAGAGGGCAAACCGAAGAGUUUACUCUUCGGGGUUGUAGGACUGCAACGUGGACUUAAAGAUUAUAGAAGAACUACCUGGGAAGGUAGGCCAAAGAGAGUAAUAGCCUCGUAUUCGAAAUAGUCUUUAUACCUAGCAGUAUCCUGAGUACGGCGAGACACGAGAAAUCUCGUCGGAAUCUGGGAGGACCAUCUCCCAACCCUAAAUACUCUCUAGUGACCGAUAGUGAACCAGUACCGUGAGGGAAAGGUGAAAAGCACCCCGGGGGGAGGGGAGAAAAUAGAACCUGAAACCGUGUGCCUACAACAAGUUCGAGCCCGUUAAUGGGUGAGAGCGUGCCUUUGUAGAAUGAACCUAUGAGUUACGAUAUGAUGCGAGGUUAAGUUGAAGAGACGGAGCCGUAGGGAAACCGAGUCUUAAUAGGGCGCAUUAGUAUCAUGUCGUAGACCCGAAACCAUGUGACCUACCCAUGAGCAGGUUGAAGGUGAGGUAAAACUCACUGGAGGACCGAACCAUAGGGCACGUUGAAAAGUGCUUGGAUGACUUGUGGGUAGCGGAGAAAUUCCAAACGAACUUGGAGAUAGCUGGUUCUCUCCGAAAUAGCUUUAGGGCUAGCGUCGAUGUUAAGUCUCUUGGAGGUAGAGCACUGUUUGGGUGAGGGGUCCAUCCCGAUUACCAAUCUCAGAUAAACUCCGAAUGCCAAUGAGAUAUAAUCGGCAGUCAGACUGCGAGUGCUAAGAUCCGUAGUCGAAAGGGAAACAGCCCAGACCACCAGCUAAGGUCCCAAAAUAUAUGUUAAGUGGAAAAGGAUGUGGGGUUGCACAGACAACUAGGAUGUUAGCUUAGAAGCAGCUAUUCAUUCAAAGAGUGCGUAAUAGCUCACUAGUCGAGUGACCCUGCGCCGAAAAUGUACCAAGGGCUAAAACAUAUUACCGAAGCUGUGGAUACCUUUAUAGGUAUGGUAGGAGAGCGUUCUAUGUGCGAAGAAGGUGUACCGUGAGGAGUGCUGGAGCGCAUAGAAGUGAGAAUGCUUAGAGUAUGAGUAGCGAAAGACAGGUGAGAAUCCUGUCCACCGUAAGACUAAGGUUUCCAUAUGGGAAGGCUCGUCCGCCCCAGUUAGUCGGGACCUAAGGAGAGACCGAAAGGUGUAUCCGAUGGACAACAGGUUGAUAUUCCUGUACUAGAGUAUAUAGUGAUGGAGGGACGCAGUAGGCUAACUAAACCAGACGAUUGGAAGUGUCUGGCCAAGCAGUGAGGUGUGAUAUGAGUCAAAUGCUUAUAUCUUUAACAUUGAGCUGUGAUGGGGAGCGAAGUUUAGUAGCGAAGUUAGUGAUGUCACACUGCCGAGAAAAGCUUCUAGCGUUAAUUAUACUCUACCCGUACCGCAAACCGACACAGGUAGUCGAGGCGAGUAGCCUCAGGUGAGCGAGAGAACUCUCGUUAAGGAACUCGGCAAAAUGGCCCCGUAACUUCGGGAGAAGGGGCGCUGACUGAUGGUCAGCCGCAGUGAAUAGGCCCAAGCAACUGUUUAUCAAAAACACAGCUCUCUGCUAAAUCGUAAGAUGAUGUAUAGGGGGUGACGCCUGCCCUAUGCUGGAAGGUUAAGAGGAGUGCUUAGCGUAAGCGAAGGCAUGAAUUGAAGCCCCAGUAAACGGCGGCCGUAACUAUAACGGUCCUAAGGUAGCGAAAUUCCUUGUCGGGUAAGUUCCGACCCGCACGAAAGGCGUAAUGAUUUGGGCACUGUCUCAACGAGAGACUCGGUGAAAUUUUAGUACCUGUGAAGAUGCAGGUUACCCGCGACAGGACGGAAAGACCCCAUGGAGCUUUACUGCAGUUUGAUAUUGAGUAUCUGUACCACAUGUACAGGAUAGGUAGGAGCCUAUGACCUCGGGACGCCAGUUUCGAGUGAGGCGUUGUUGGGAUACUACCCUUGUGUUAUGGCUACUCUAACCCAGAUAGGUUAUCCCUAUCGGAGACAGUGUCUGACGGGCAGUUUGACUGGGGCGGUCGCCUCCUAAAAGGUAACGGAGGCGCCCAAAGGUUCCCUCAGAAUGGUUGGAAAUCAUUCGCAGAGUGUAAAGGUAUAAGGGAGCUUGACUGCGAGAGCUACAACUCGAGCAGGGACGAAAGUCGGGCUUAGCGAUCCUAUGGUUCCGUAUGGAAGGGCCAUCGCUCAACGGAUAAAAGCUACCCUUUGGGAUAACAGGCUUAUCUCCCCCAAGAGUUCACAUCGACGGGGAGGUUUGGCACCUCGAUGUCGGCUCGUCGCAUCCUGGGGCUGUAGUCGGUCCCAAGGGUUGGGCUGUUCGCCCAUUAAAGCGGCACGCGAGCUGGGUUCAGAACGUCGUGAGACAGUUCGGUCCCUAUCCGUCGCGGGCGUAGGAAAUUUGAGAGGAUCUGCUCCUAGUACGAGAGGACCAGAGUGGACUUACCGCUGGUGUACCAGUUGUUCUGCCAAGAGCAUCGCUGGGUAGCUAUGUAGGGAAGGGAUAAACGCUGAAAGCAUCUAAGUGUGAAGCCUACCUCAAGAUGAGAUUUCCCAUGAUUUUAUAUCAGUAAGAGCCCUGAGAGAUGAUCAGGUUGAUAGGUUAGAAGUGGAAGUGUGGUGACACAUGUAGCGGACUAAUACUAAUAGCUCGAGGACUUAUCCAAC